rnacentral:rRNA from 1 species
GUAGCGUAUAUUAAAGUUGUUGCAGUUAAAAAGCUCGUAGUCGAACUUCGGAUCUGGCGGGAUGGUCCGCCUUACGGUGUGUACUGUCCGGCCGGAUCUUACCUCUUGGUGAAGCCGUAUGCCCUUUACUGGGUGUGCGGUGGAACCAGGAAUUUUACUUUGAGAAAAUUAGAGUGUUCAAAGCAGGCAUACGCCCGAAUACAUUAGCAUGGAAUAAUAGAAUAGGACGUGCGGUUCUAUUUUGUUGGUUUCUAGAAUUGCCGUAAUGAUUAAUAGGGAUAGUUGGGGGCAUUGGUAUUCAGUCGCUAGAGGUGAAAUUCUUGGAUUGACUGAAGACCGACUAUUG